rnacentral:rRNA from 1 species
GCUUUAGGGCUAGCGUCGAGGUAAGUUGCGUGAAGGUAGAGCACUGAAUAUGUGAUGGCCCCAUCUCGGGGUACUGAGCAUAAUCAAACUGCGAAUGUCACGAUAACAUGCUCGGCAGUCAGACAGCGGGUGAUAAGGUCCGUUGUCAAGAGGGAAACAGCCCAGACCAUCAGCUAAGGUCCCAAAAUGUAUGCUAAGUGGAAAAGGAUGUGGAGAUGUACAGACAACUAGGAGGUUGGCUCAGAAGCAGCCAUCCUUUAAAGAGUGCGUAACAGCUCACUAGUCGAAUGACUCUGCGCCGAUAAUUUACCGGGGCUAAGCAUACUACCGAAGCUAUGGAUCCCAAGGGAUGGUAGGGGAGCGUUCCAUGAACGGAGAAGUACGACCGAAAGGACGUGUGGAGAUCAUGGAAGAGAGAAUGCCGGUGUGAGUAGCGGAACGUGGGUGAGAAUCCCACGCACCGAAAACCCAAGGUUUCCAGAGGAAGGUUCGUCCGCUCUGGGUAAGUCGGGACCUAAGGCGAGGCCGAAAGGCGUAGUCGAUGGACAACAGGUAGAGAUUCCUGUACCCGUAUAUAUGUGAAGGAAUGACGGAGAGAGGAAGCUGCAGCCAGCGGCUGGAAGAGCUGGUGCAAGCGAGAUAUCGGGAUGGCAGGCAAAUCCACCAUCCGAAACGAGAAGGCGUGAAGCGUACGGAAAGCUACGGCGAGUACGGAAGGCAGUGGAGGAACUUCCAAGAAAAGUUUCUAACGUUAAGUAUAUAUGGCCCGUACCGAAAAUGGACACACAUGGGUGAGGAGAGAAUCCUAAGGUGAGCGAGAGAACUAUAGCUAAGGAACUCUGCAAAAUGACUCCGUAACUUAGGGAGAAGGAGUGCUCAUAGAGAUAUGAGCCGCAGUGAAACGGCCCAAGCGACUGUUUACCAAAAACACAGCUCUCUGCUAAGCCGCAAGGCGAAGUAUAGGGGGUGACGCCUGCCCGGUGCUGGAAGGUUAAGGGGAGGGGUUAACGCAAGUGAAGCCCUGAACUGAAGCCCCAGUAAACGGCGGCCGUAACUAUAACGGUCCUAAGGUAGCGAAAUUCCUUGUCAGGUAAGUUCUGACCCGCACGAAAGGCGUAACGAUUUGGGCGCUGUCUCAGCUGUAGACUCGGUGAAGUCUUAGUACCUGUGAAGAUGCAGGUUACCCGCGACUAGACGGAAAGACCCCAUGGAGCUUCACUGCAGGUUGAUAUUGGGAUUUGAUGCAGCAUGUACAGGAUAGGUAGGAGGCUAGGAGAUGGAUACGCCAGUAUUCAAGGAGCCGCUGUUGGGAUACUACCCCUGUUGUAUUGGAUUUCUAACC